rnacentral:rRNA from 1 species
UACGGAGGGUGCGAGCGUUGUCCGGAAUCACUGGGCGUAAAGGGCGCGUAGGCGGCGCGGGCAGUCAACGGUGAAAACUCGAGGCUCAACCUCGAGACGCCGAUGGAAACCAUCAGACUAGAGUCCGGAAGAGGAGAGUGGAAUUCCUGGUGUAGCGGUGAAAUGCGCAGAUAUCAGGAAGAACACCCGUGGCUAAGGCGGCUCUCUAGUACGGUACUGACGCUGAGACGCGAAAGCGUGGGGAGCGAACAGG